rnacentral:rRNA from 1 species
UUUAUUGGAGAGUUUGAUCCUGGCUCAGGAUGAACGCUGGCGGCGUGCCUAAUACAUGCAAGUCGAGCGAAUGGAUUAAGAGCUUGCUCUUAUGAAGUUAGCGGCGGACGGGUGAGUAACACGUGGGUAACCUGCCCAUAAGACUGGGAUAACUCCGGGAAACCGGGGCUAAUACCGGAUAAUAUUUUGAACUGCAUGGUUCAAAAUUGAAAGGCGGCUUCGGCUGUCACUUAUGGAUGGACCCGCGUCGCAUUAGCUAGUUGGUGAGGUAACGGCUCACCAAGGCAACGAUGCGUAGCCGACCUGAGAG